UUAGCUAGUUGGUGAGGUAAGGGCUCACCAAGGCAACGAUGCGUAGCCGACCUGAGAGGGUGAUCGGCCACACUGGGACUGAGACACGGCCCAGACUCCUACGGGAGGCAGCAGUAGGGAAUCUUCCGCAAUGGACGAAAGUCUGACGGAGCAACGCCGCGUGAGUGAUGAAGGUUUUCGGAUCGUAAAGCUCUGUUGUUAGGGAAGAACAAGUACCGUUCGAAUAGGGCGGUACCUUGACGGUACCUAACCAGAAAGCCACGGCUAACUACGUGCCAGCAGCCGCGGUAAUACGUAGGUGGCAAGCGUUGUCCGGAAUUAUUGGGCGUAAAGGGCUCGCAGGCGGUUUCUUAAGUCUGAUGUGAAAGCCCCCGGCUCAACCGGGGAGGGUCAUUGGAAACUGGGGAACUUGAGUGCAGAAGAGGAGAGUGGAAUUCCACGUGUAGCGGUGAAAUGCGUAGAGAUGUGGAGGAACACCAGUGGCGAAGGCGACUCUCUGGUCUGUAACUGACGCUGAGGAGCGAAAGCGUGGGGAGCGAACGAGGAUUAGAUACCCUGGUAGUCCACGCCGUAAACGAUGAGUGCUAAGUGUUAGGGGGUUUCCGCCCCUUAGUGCUGCAGCUAACGCAUUAAGCACUCCGCCUGGGGAGUACGGUCGCAAGACUGAAACUCAAAGGAAUUGACGGGGGCCCGCACAAGCGGUGGAGCAUGUGGUUUAAUU
rnacentral:rRNA from 1 species